rnacentral:misc_RNA from 1 species
UAUCCAUACAAGCAGUGGUGGUUCCUGCAUGAGCCACGCAGCAAACUCUGCUUCGCUAACACCAAGGUUCCCCUGUGACUACAAAAAAAAAGUGCAACGUUUUCUCCGAGCAUGUCUGUAACUUGACAAAUAUUGUGGAGUAGAGAAUGAAGAGCAGCCCGCGAGAGACAUGCAUUAUGGUCGGCAAGCUGUUGAUACAAGUAUCCAUAUUUUCCUUGGAGUCUACUACAGCUGACCAAAGUAAGAGCAACUUUUGCAGAGAACACAGAGACACUACCAGCCCGUUUUCUGAAUCACAAGACGAUGACGUUCGAAUACUCCAGCUAUUAGCUCCAAUCUGACUUGUUGCACUACGAGGGAAAGAAGUAACAAAUUUCAAACAAUGGUAAAGAG